GAUGAACGCUGGCGGCGUGCCUAAUACAUGCAAGUCGAGCGAACGGACGAGAAGCUUGCUUCUCUGAUGUUAGCGGCGGACGGGUGAGUAACACGUGGAUAACCUACCUAUAAGACUGGGAUAACUUCGGGAAACCGUAGCUAAUACCGGAUAAUAUUUUGAACCGCAUGGUUCAAAAGUGAAAGACGGUCUUGCUGUCCCUUAUAGAUGGAUCCGCGCUGCAUUAGCUAGUUGGUAAGGUAACGGCUUACCAAGGCAACGAUGCAUAGCCGACCUGAGAGGGGGACCGGCAACACUGGAACGGAGAAACGGUCCAGACUCCUACGGGAGGAAGCAGUAGGGAAUCUUCGGCAAUGGGCGAAAGCCUGACGGAGCAACGCCGCGUGAGUGAUGAAGGUCUUCGGAUCGUAAAACUCUGUGAUUAGGGAAGAACAUAUGUGUAAGUAACUGUGCACAUCUUGACGGUACCUAAUCAGAAAGCCACGGCUAACUACGUG
rnacentral:rRNA from 1 species